GAUGAACGCUAGCGGCAGGCUUAACACAUGCAAGUCGAGGGGUAACAGGGAGUGCUUGCACUCUGCUGACGACCGGCGCACGGGUGCGUAACGCGUAUGCAACCUACCUUCUACAGGGGGAUAGUCCAGAGAAAUUUGGCAUAAUACCCCAUACGAUCAUUUAUUGGCAUCGAUAGAUGAGGAAAACUCCGGUGGUAGAAGAUGGGCAUGCGUCCUAUUAGUUAGUUGGUAAGGUAACGGCUUACCAAGACAUCGAUAGGUAGGGGUCCUGAGAGGGAGAUCCCCCACACUGGUACUGAGACACGGACCAGACUCCUACGGGAGGCAGCAGUGAGGAAUAUUGGACAAUGGAGGCAACUCUGAUCCAGCCAUGCCGCGUGCAGGAAGACGGCCCUACGGGUUGUAAACUGCUUUUAUACAGGAAGAAACGCCGCUACGUGUAGUGGUUUGACGGUACUGUACGAAUAAGGAUCGGCUAACUCCGUGCCAGCAGCCGCGGUAAUACGGAGGAUCCAAGCGUUAUCCGGAAUCAUUGGGUUUAAAGGGUCCGUAGGCGGUUUUUUAAGUCAGAGGUGAAAUCCUGCAGCUCAACUGUAGCAUUGCCUUUGAUACUGAAAGACUUGAGUUAUUGUGAAGUAGUUAGAAUGUGUAGUGUAGCGGUGAAAUGCAUAGAUAUUACACAGAAUACCGAUUGCGAAGGCAGAUUACUAACAAUAUACUGACGCUGAGGGACGAAAGCGUGGGUAGCGAACAGGAUUAGAUACCCUGGUAGUCCACGCCGUAAACGAUGGAUACUAGCUGUUCGACCAACAUUGGUUGGUUGAGUGGCUAAGCGAAAGUGAUAAGUAUCCCACCUGGGGAGUACGCUCGCAAGAGUGAAACUCAAAGGAAUUGACGGGGGCCCGCACAAGCGGUGGAGCAUGUGGUUUAAUUCGAUGAUACGCGAGGAACCUUACCAGGGCUUAAAUGUAAGUUGCAUAGAUCAGAGAUGGUCUUUUCUUCGGACUACUUACAAGGUGCUGCAUGGUUGUCGUCAGCUCGUGCCGUGAGGUGUCAGGUUAAGUCCUAUAACGAGCGCAACCCCUGUCGUUAGUUGCCAGCAAGUUAAGUUGGGCACUCUAGCGAGACUGCCGGUGCAAACCGCGAGGAAGGUGGGGAUGACGUCAAAUCAUCACGGCCCUUACGUCCUGGGCUACACACGUGCUACAAUGGCUGGUACAGAGAGCAGCCACUCCGCGAGGAGGAGCGAAUCUAUAAAACCGGUCUCAGUUCGGAUCGCAGUCUGCAACUCGACUGCGUGAAGCUGGAAUCGCUAGUAAUCGGAUAUCAGCCAUGAUCCGGUGAAUACGUUCCCGGGCCU
rnacentral:rRNA from 1 species